CUUCCUGUUUGGCUUUUUGAAGUUGAAACAGCUCAAGUACCAAGCUUUCUUGCGCUAUUUUGAAUGAUAUUGUGUUCUUAAAUGUACGUCUUCGUUACAAGUAUACUUAGUACCAUCUAGAAAAUCAAGCAUCGAUAUUUAAUUUUCGGCGCUUUGUGUACCCGUCAUACCUGAAGGCAAGCAAAUAGCCACUGCGUCCUGCACGAACUUGUGGCCUGCCUAUCGAGGCCACUCCUCUCUGAACAAGGUUGUGUCAGUGUCCUCAGACCAAUGUGAUGUACUGGCAACAGGACGGGCUGUGUGCAGCUGUCA
rnacentral:lncRNA from 1 species